rnacentral:rRNA from 1 species
AUGCCACCAGGGGGUGGAGAAACAAGCAAGCAUGCCCGCACGGGGAAGGAGCAGAGCCACCCGCCGGCGAUCCGCCGCCGCGACGAGUCCCGUCCCGCGCCGCCGUUCCCCGCCGUGGAUUCUCAGAAGCAGGGGAAGCAGAUGCAGCCGGCGGCGGCGGCGGCGAGCAUCUCCGAGGGCCCCCUUGUCGAGAUCCUGGCGCGGCUGCCCUACCGGUCGCUCUGCCGCUUUAAGUGCGUGUCCAAGCAGUGGCGUGAGCUCUGCUCCGACCCCAAAAUCGUCAAGAGGGCGUCACAGACCCUCUCCGGAUUCUUCCACAACCACCCGGUCGGCAGCCUCCGCUUCAGCAAUCUGUCCGGCGGACGCCCGCUGAUCGACGCCUUGCUCCCUUUCCUGCGCGGGAGAUACCAAAGAAUCAAGCUCGAGCAAUGCUCCACCAGCCUCCUCCUCUGCAAAUGCUGGAAACUGGAAUCGGGACAAGACAAAUUCGAUUUCGCCGUGUGCAAUCCGAUGACCGAGCAGUGGACCGUGCUGCCUCCUAUAGAAUGGCUAGACCAAGACGGUGAAGACACCGAGGGUUCCGAUUUGAUUUAUCCCUUCCUGGUUUUUGACCCGGCCGUUCCGUCUCGUUUCGUGGUGUUUGCGCCCCUCCUCGACUUGGUUGACAUUGUGGCAAUAUACUCAUGGGAAACUGGACAAUGGACUCCCAGCAGUGGGUGGGAAUACAGAGAGUAUCCUGCCGUUACCAAGGAAUGUGUCUUCCUGAAUGGCAUGAUCCAUUUCUUGCAUUUGUUUGGCGAUGAACCUUUCAUAACUGUACUAGACAUUGAGGGGGAGCUUUUCCCGCAAAUUGAUGGCCCGGAUGGAAUGCUAGGGGCCACACCUGGUUAUGGUUCGGUGGGGUGCUCUCAGGGACUCCUUCAUGUUUGGUAUAUGGAUCCCCAUGAUUACGAGCUCUCUGUGUGGGUGCUCAAAAAUUAUGUCAGCGGAGAGUGGAUCCUAAAGCACACUGUUGACGUUCCAAAACUCUUUGAAGAAAUGGACUCCAGUGAAGAAAAGGAUCGUGACCAAGAGGAUGGCUCCUGUAAGUAUGAGAUGUUUGCAAUUCAUCCGGAAUACAACGUGAUUUUCCUUACUGACCGGAAGAUGGCGAGUCUGUCGUACGAUAUGGACAGCGGGAAAGUGCAUCCCAUGUGCACUUCUGGAGAUUUCCUUGGUGGUCUACCCUUUAUUCCCUGCUUUGCGGAUGGCUCUCUGAUGAUCACUAAUGCCUUUGAAAAAAUCGCUCUUCUAGUCCUGUGGCACUGGUUUGGAUGUGACCAUUUUGUGGCGUUGAAUAAUGUUGUUGGUCACCGUUAG